CUUGUUUAACUCAUCGUCGGUCUGACCAAGUUGUGUGAUAGGUGAUCCCUCCUCAUAGCUAAGAGAUGUGUUUAUGUGUAACACAAGACUAAGUACCUAAAGAGAUAAACUAUGUUUUGUCAAUUUUUCAAGUCUUAGCUGAUGUUUAAAUACACCAAAAUAAAAGAAACAAAGUAACGCAACGUGAGUAAGUGGAUAUGCAAUCCCACUGUUAGACCCAGUCAACUAACAGAACAGAAACAGAGGACUUGGCGUAUGGAGCAGUUUCCUGCUUACUGACUUAAAUUUCUGAUUCUUUUCUUCUUUUAAUAUCUCUUCGUGCUACACAAAAAAAUUCUUACGUUUCAAAAAUUGAUGGAUCCUGCAACACUCUUAGGUUUUUUUUUUGUUGAUAUUGUCCAUGUUCCUUCCUUGUACUCUAAGUAACCUGCCCAUCCCUCUUCUCACAUG